CCGCAACUCACCAGCGACCAGGGGUAAGCCAGAAUUCCUACCCCCCCAGGUAUUCAGCACGUCCACCAAUCCGGUGCCAUACCUGCAACCAACAGGGGCACAUCCAGAGAGACUGCCCACGGAACCGGCCUCGACCCAGCUGGAAUAACGCAGCCCCAAGCAACCGUGCCGCAGUCCACUGUCUACAGGCCGAAUCCUACCAGAAUCUGGAGCUGGG